rnacentral:tRNA from 1 species
GCACCAGCGGCGCAAUGGAUAGCGCGCAACCCUGCUAAAGGCUAAGGUUGUGGAUUAGAGUCCCACCUGGUGCU